GAUGAACGCUGGCGGCGUGCCUAAUACAUGCAAGUCGAGCAAACAGAUGAGGAGCUUGCUCCUCUGACGUUAGCGGCGGACGGGUGAGUAACACGUGGAUAACCUACCUAUAAGACUGGGAUAACUUCGGGAAACCGGAGCUAAUACCGGAUAAUAUAUUGAACCGCAUGGUUCAAUAGUGAAAGACGGUUUUGCUGUCACUUAUAGAUGGAUCCGCGCCGCAUUAGCUAGUUGGUAAGGUAACGGCUUACCAAGGCAACGAUGCGUAGCCGACCUGAGAGGGUGAUCGGCCACACUGGAACUGAGACACGGUCCAGACUCCUACGGGAGGCAGCAGUAGGGAAUCUUCCGCAAUGGGCGAAAGCUUGACGGAGCAACGCCGCGUGAGUGAUGAAGGUCUUCGGAUCGUAAAACUCUGUUAUUAGGGAAGAACAAAUGUGUAAGUAACUAUGCACGUCUUGACGGUACCUAAUCAGAAAGCCACGGCUAACUACGUG
rnacentral:rRNA from 1 species